GUAAGUAGAGCUAAAAUAAUAAGAUGCAAAUAAUAACAUAAUUCUCCUAGUUUCUUUUUCAUGUAACUAACACAAUGUAUGAUUAAUUACAAUGUCGAUUCACGGAUCAGGUGCACAAGUUUCGUGAUAUCCGCUACCACAGAUAAGCAAAAAGGUCCUCACAUAAUUUUAAUUAUGCGGCGCCUCGUUCGGAGAGUUGAAUGUAAAAUCUAAAAAUGCAACGGCUUAUUAAAACUAAUACAUUAUUAAAACAAGCAUAAGAGACAGUAAACAUUAAUUAAAUUAAAAUUAGAUAGAUUUCGUUUGUGUUUAGUAAUAAUAAAAAUAUCUUUAUUAGUAUGCAUACUGCUACUGCUUCUUUUUAGAGGUAUCAGAAUUCUUUAUUAUAUAUUAUUAUAAUUUCGUAAAUGACUUUUGACUUAAAAAAUCUACCACAUAAACAUCUCGUAACAAUUCGUCAAAACAAUAAGUCCCAGGGAGUCAAGUUACCAACGAUCAUCUUGCGGCCUGAAGAGGGCAUCGGAUGAGCCACAAAUAGGAUUAUCCUCCAGUGUAGACUGGACAAAAGCUAUAGUAUGUUUGCCAUUUAGAAUUUUAUCUACAGCCGGAAAUAUUCAAUAAUACAUUAUCGGCAAAUUUGCCGACCGGCGAUAACUGUUUCAUCGAUAAUGUAGAUUCCUACUAUAUUUAAAAGUUACAAAAUAGAAAAAA